GAUGAACGCUGGCGGCGUGCCUAAUACAUGCAAGUCGAGCGAACAGACGAGGAGCUUGCUCCUUCGACGUUAGCGGCGGACGGGUGAGUAACACGUAGGUAACCUACCUAUAAGACUGGGAUAACUUCGGGAAACCGGAGCUAAUACCGGAUAAUAUUUCGAACCGCAUGGUUCGAUAGUGAAAGAUGGCUUUGCUAUCACUUAUAGAUGGACCUGCGCCGUAUUAGCUAGUUGGUAAGGUAACGGCUUACCAAGGCAACGAUACGUAGCCGACCUGAGAGGGUGAUCGGCCACACUGGAACUGAGACACGGUCCAGACUCCUACGGGAGGCAGCAGUAGGGAAUCUUCCGCAAUGGGCGAAAACCAGACGGAGCAACGCCGCGUGAGUGAUGAAGGUCUCCGGAUCGUAAAACUCUGUUAUUAGGGAAGAACAAACGUGUAAGUAACUGUGCACGUCUUGACGGUACCUAAUCAGAAAGCCACGGCUAACUACGUGCCAGCAGCCGCGGUAAUACGUAGGUGGCAAGCGUUAUCCGGAAUUAUUGGGCGUAAAGCGCGCGUAGGCGGUUUUUUAAGUCUGAUGUGAAAGCCCACGGCUCAACCGUGGAGGGUCAUUGGAAACUGGAAAACUUGAGUGCAGAAGAGGAAAGUGGAAUUCCAUGUGUAGCGGUGAAAUGCGCAGAGAUAUGGAGGAACACCAGUGGCGAAGGCGACUUUCUGGUCUGUAACUGACGCUGAUGUGCGAAAGCGUGGGGAUCAAACAGG
rnacentral:rRNA from 1 species